CCUACGGGAGGCAGCAGUGAGGAAUAUUGGUCAAUGGACGAGAGUCUGAACCAGCCAAGUAGCGUGAAGGAUGACUGCCCUAUGGGUUGUAAACUUCUUUUAUAUGGGAAUAAAAUGUUCCACGUGUGGGAUUUUGUAUGUACCAUAUGAAUAAGGACCGCCUAACUCCGUGCCAGCAGCCGCGGUAAUACGGAGGAUCCGAGCGUUAUCCGGAUUUAUUGGGUUUAAAGGGAGCGUAGGUGGUUUGUUAAGUCAGUUGUGAAAGUUUGGGGGUCAAACGUAAAAUUGCAGUUGAAACUGGCGGUCGUGAGUGCAGUAGAGGUAGGCGGAAUGCGUGGUGUAGCGGUGAAAUGCGUAGAUAUCACGAAGAACUCCGAUUGCGAAGGCAGUUCACUGGACUGCAACUGACACUGAGGCUCGAAAGUGUGGGUAUCAAACAGGAUUAGAUACCCGAGUAGUC
rnacentral:rRNA from 1 species